GAGUUUGAUCCUGGCUCAGGACGAACGCUGGCGGCGCGCUUAACACAUGCAAGUCGAACGUGAAGCUGGAGCUUGCUCCGGUGGAAAGUGGCGAACGGGGUGCGUAACACGUGAGCAACCUGCCCCGAAGACUGGGAUAACACCGGGAAACCGGUGCUAAUACCGGAUACCUUCUUCCGAUCGCAUGGUUGGACGAAGAAAUGGAUUCCGCUUCGGGAUGGGCUCGCGGCCUAUCAGCUUGUUGGUGAGGUAACGGCCCACCAAGGCGACGACGGGUAGCUGGUCUGAGAGGACGACCAGCCACACUGGGACUGAGACACGGCCCAGACUCCUACGGGAGGCAGCAGUGGGGAAUCUUGCUCAAUGGGCGAAAGCCUGAAGCAGCGACGCCGCGUGCGGGAUGAAGGCCUCGG
rnacentral:rRNA from 1 species